rnacentral:rRNA from 1 species
AUUGAACGCUGGCGGCAUGCUUUACACAUGCAAGUCGAACGGCAGCGCGGGCUUCGGCCUGGCGGCGAGUGGCGAACGGGUGAGUAAUGCAUCGGAACGUGCCCAGUAGUGGGGGAUAGCCCGGCGAAAGCCGGAUUAAUACCGCAUACGACCUGAGGGUGAAAGCGGGGGACCGAAAGGCCUCGCGCGAUUGGAGCGGCCGAUGUCGGAUUAGCUAGUUGGUGGGGUAAAGGCUUACCAAGGCGACGAUCCGUAGCUGGUCUGAGAGGACGACCAGCCACACUGGGACUGAGACACGGCCCAGACUCCUACGGGAGGCAGCAGUGGGGAAUUUUGGACAAUGGGGGCAACCCUGACCCAGCCAUGCCGCGUGAGGGAAGAAGGCCUUCGGGUUGUAAACCGCUUUUGUUCGGGAAGAAAUACUCUGGGCUAAUACCCCGGGGGGAUGACGGUACCGGAAGAAUAAGCACCGGCUAACUACGUG